GCGGACGGGUGAGUAACGCGUAGGCAACCUGCCCCUGGCAGAGGGAUAGCCAUCGGAAACGAUGAUUAAAACCUCAUGACACCGUAGUAGCACAUGAAUACAUCGGUCAAAGAUUUAUCGGUCAGGGAUGGGCCUGCGUCUGAUUAACUGGUUGGUGAGGUAACGGCUCACCAAGGUGACGAUCAGUAGCCGACCUGAGAGGGUGAUCGGCCACAUUGGAACUGAGACACGGUCCAAACUUCUACGGAAGGCAGCAGUAGGGAAUCUUUGCACAAUGGGGGAAAGCCUGAUGCAGCAACGCCGCGUGAAGGAUGAAGGCAUUCGGGUUGUAAACUU
rnacentral:rRNA from 1 species